rnacentral:rRNA from 1 species
AUUGAACGCUGGCGGCAGGCCUAACACAUGCAAGUCGAGCGAGCGGCGGACGGGUGAGUAAUGUAUGGGGACUGCCCGAUAGAGGGGGAUAACUCCUGGAAACGGUGGCUAAUACCGCAUACUAUCGGAUAACCCAUAUGGGAUUAGCUAGUAGGUGGGGUAAAGGCUCACCUAGGCGACGAUCUCUAGCGGGUCUGAGAGGAGGAUCAGUAACACUGGGAAUGCGACACGGCCUAGACUCCGACGGAGGCAGCAGUGGGGAAUAUUGCACAAUGGGCGGAAGCAUGAUGCAGCCAUGCGGAGGGAAUGAAGAAGGCCUUAGGGUUGUAAAGUACUUCCAGCGGCGAGGCGGUACCCAAAGAAGAAGCACCGGCUAACUCCGUGCCAGCAGCCGCGGUAAUUC